GAAGUGGUAUCGGGAGAGACUGUAGCGGCAUCGCCGUCGCAGCGCCGAAGGAGCAACCGCCCCGGAAACUCUCAGGCAAAAGGACCGAUACCACAGC
rnacentral:ncRNA from 2 species